rnacentral:lncRNA from 1 species
UAGGGAGUGGUGGUGGAGAUGACAUCCCCGGUGAAGGUGAGCAGGGAGAGGAGGAGGAGGAAGAUGGCAGCCAUGGAAAAAGGGGCAAAAGUGAAGGCUUCAACAGAGGAUUUGGGUGGUAGGAAGCAGUGAUUACAUGAUGAUUGUGGUAGGUUUGGAAGGAAAUGUCAUAGUACUGUCAUUCUUCCGACUCAUGUUACUUUAUUUCGAUAUAUUUUAAUCUAAAACAUUUAUUUCUCCUUAUAUUAAUAUACUUUUUUUUAAUAAAAACAAAAAUAAAAGACUGAUACACUAUCUACAAUAGUUUUUAUUGUUAUUAUUAUUAUUAUUAUUAUUAUUUUUAGAAAUAUGCAAAAUUGCAAAAUUGAUCCAUGAGGCUUUACAUUUUCUUGGAUUUGGUCUAAUAUUAUACCAACUUGCAAAUUUAGUCUCCAAAAUAAUGUUUUCUUGUGGUUUGGUCCCUAAAGAUAACAAUUGUUAAUUCUUAUCGUUAUCUCAUCUCAUGUGCCCAUAUAUUUUUUGAUUUGUAUAUAUUUAGUCACUGAGUUUUUUUGUUCAUAUUUUCUCGUUGAACUAUUCAAAAAACAUCUAUAUGACCUGCUAUCGUGUAGCAUCCUUCUCUGGCACGUAUCACAAUAUUGUUCGCUUUUGGCUCCAGACACAAAACCUUCUCAGGGGUCACCCCUCCCCGAAUUGAUCUCACCCGAACACGCGUAACUGCAUAUUUAUCUAUUUAUCAAACAUUUUAAGUAUGGUUGUACUUACAAUUUAUCCAUCCAUCAAACAUUUUAACUAUGUAAUUACUUAUGAUUUAUCUAUUGAGCAAACAUUUCAAGUAUGGAUUUACUUAUGAUUUAUUCGACCCUUUUAAGUCAUUAUCCCUAUUUUUGUAAAGACUAAUAAUAUACCCAUUACAUGGAUCAUUUGUAAAAUUUUGUCUUUUUAUAAAUAGUCUAUGCCAUCUUUUAAAAUCCAGGUUUUAGUCCUUAACCUUUUUUUUUUAUGGCAGGUCCAUGUAACUUUAAUUUCUACUGUGAUUGGUCCUUGGGACACACACUUGACUUCCUGACAAUUGUGUCCAAAAUCCUGAAACACACCUUUGACUUCCUGACAAGUCAUCACCAACUCGCUGUUUCCACGAGCAUAAUGAUGGUCCAUCCAAGAUUCUCACGUUGCAUCCAAAUCCCUUAUCAGCUCAGGUGCAUAUCCACAUAGUCAUUUCACUUGCCUUUCUUAUCUCUUAUCUCUAUCUUUAUCCUGAAGAUGCCAAGGCCUAGACCAAGACCAUUUGAAUUUGUGAGAAGAUCUUGGCACAAUGAGAGAUAUCAACCCAAAUAGCCAAGUUAAGGACUAGAUUGCCAUUAAUGUAAAUGCAUCAAUACCUUGCAUUGAUAUCCUCACAGCAGUAUAAAUAUCGGAAGUAUUAGUGGGACACCGGCAAGAGCCAAAGUAGUUGGUUUCUUUAAACGAUAGGUUCCCAGAUCAACAACAGGAGCGCCUUCCGAUAAAACGGUAGAACCGUAGAAAUAAAACUCAAAAUCGUUUGUCAAUUUGAAAUCUUCUUGCAUCGAUCAAGGAACCAACAAUCGCUCUAUCUCAUGGAUCAACAAUUUUGAAUUCGUCAACACAAAGCAUUUGAUAGCGAACAACUUCCU